GCUCUGAUGGGGAUGAGGGACCUGAGGGGGGCGGCCGCCGCCAUUACCGCCCUUGUACCACCCACAGCCAAAAGCCGCAGGGAAAUGUCACAAGGAGGCGAGAAAACCCCCAGCACAACAACUUCGAGCUGCGAGGAGGAGUGGAACAAGUCGUGCUUUCCCAAAGGAAAUGGGAAGAAUCGACAAGAAAACAGAAUAAUCUGUGCUGAGGUGCUGAAGGAAAGGACUUACCCAUAGCAAAACCUUCAUCAACCACCUGUAAGGUGAAAACAACAAAAAAAACUUCUUUAUUGCAAUUACACCAAGAACUGGGAACACUGGAGGGUUCCUGGAACCAACAGUCCUGUUGAGGGCUGAAGAGGGGCAGAGAAAGGGGCAGAGAAAUGGGACCUCCAAGCUCUAAACGCUGCCCAGCACAGCAGGGUGGUUGAAUAAAGGUGAGUGAAGGAGAGCACAAGUGAAAAGGUGACGGGUGGGUGUCCAGGGGACCACGCAGGACCCAUCCCUGGUGGCACCAGGACUCUCAGCCAGGGACAACACGGAAUGUUGUCUCCAUCCCAAGCCAAGCUGUGCUCCUGGGACCCCGGGGCUGGUGUUGGGAGCACAUCAGCAGCCAGCCAGAACUGAACAGAACCAAACAAACGAGGAACAGCGUGGGAGGGAUGGAAUUCCCAGCUGGAAUCCUUACACCAAGCUUAGAGACACACCUGAGCUUGCUCUGGAACCUGCUCCAUGCCCUCUGCCAACACUUUCCAGCCUCCAAGAACUCACAGGAGCCUCCAAAAAGAGGUGUCAGCUAGGCACAGAGACACCUGGUCUCUUUGGAAAGUUUAAAUUUAUUUAUUUCCCC